AGUUUGAUCCUGGCUCAGGACGAACGCUGGCGGCGUGCUUAACACAUGCAAGUCGAACGAGGAUGCAGGAGAGCUUGCUCGAAUGCAGCCGAGUGGCGGACGGGUGAGUAACGCGUGAACAAUCUGUCUCAUACAGGGGGAUAACGCGUCGAAAGACGUGCUAAUACCGCGUAGGACCACGGGGUCGCAUGGCCCUGAGGUGAAAGGCUUCGGCCGGUAUGAGGUGAGUUCGCGUCUGAUUAGAUAGUUGGUGAGGUAACGGCUCACCAAGUCAACGAUCAGUAGCCGACCUGAGAGGGUGAUCGGCCACAUUGGGACUGAGACACGGCCCAGACUCCUACGGGAGGCAGCAGUGGGGAAUAUUGGGCAAUGGGCGAAAGCCUGACCCAGCAACGCCGCGUGAGGGAAGAAGGUUUUCGGAUUGUAAACCUCUGUCCUGUAUGAAGAGGAGAAGACGGUAGUACAGGAGGAAGCCCCGGCUAACUACGUGCC
rnacentral:rRNA from 1 species